CCUACGGGAGGCAGCAGUGAGGAAUAUUGGUCAAUGGCCGGAAGGCUGAACCAGCCAUGCCGCGUGAAGGUCAGUGCCCUAUGGGCGUUAAACUUCUUUUGUGCGGGAGCAAUAAUGGUCACGUGUGGCCAGACGAGAGUACCGUACGAAUAAGCAUCGGCUAACUCCGUGCCAGCAGCCGCGGUAAUACGGGGGAUGCAAGCGUUAUCCGGAUUUAUUGGGUUUAAAGGGUGCGUAGGCUGUGAGGUAAGUCAGCGGGGAAAUGCCCCCGCUCAACGGGGUGAAGUGCCAUUGAAACUGCCUUGCUGGAAUGCGGAGGCCGUGGGAGGAAUGUGUGGUGUAGCGGUGAAAUGCAUAGAUAUCACACAGAACACCGAUUGCGAAGGCAUCUCACGAAUCCGCGAUUGACGCUGAUGCACGAAAGCGUGGGUAUCAAACAGGAUUAGAUACCCCAGUAGUC
rnacentral:rRNA from 1 species